AGUCAAACGCGUUUAACCCGAACCCUUCCCGUCUCCUUCAAAGAUCACCGAAGUUGAGGAACAUUGCUUGAUUCUUCUCCCCUGGACCUUGGGGGACUGUUUUUGUGGAUGAUGUUAAGGGCCUACCAAAGCAAGGUUUCUCAAACAACUGUGGGGUGUUUGUUUUGAUGUAUGCUCUGUACACUCCAAUGGAAGCACAGUGUGAUUUCACUGAGGAAAACAUGCAGCAAAUUAGGCGAUGGUGGUGCCUAGUUCUCCUGUAGAACUUUCCCAUGCAAUCUGAAGAAGAGAGGUUGAAAGAUCGAAAAAGGCGGCGAAAACAAAACACACUACAGGUAGAUGUCAUAUGAAGAGUGGUAUAGUCUU